CUGUUCACCCAUGAACAGGAACUGGCCGUUGUCAAUCUAGUGUUGGCGAACAACACCAUCCGCCUACAUCAACUACCAGAGAAAAUGAUCGCAGAUCACACAACAUUCCAUAAUAUCAACCAUGUCAGUAGGUCGACACUCUGCCGCAUCUUGCGUCAACACCAAUUUAUGAUGAAACAGCUGUACAGGGUUCCAUUUGAGAGGAACAGCGUUAGAGUCAAAGACCCUCACUAUGACUAUGUGCAAAGAGUCCUGGACUUUGAUGCAGCUGCACAGCCUCAUGAGUUUAUUUCAUUGAAGCUGGAUUCAAUCUAGCUAAAACCAGGCGUCGGGGCCGAAACGUUAUAGAACAAAAAGCCGUUACGAAUGUCCCUGGGCAGCGCGGGCGAAAUAUCCCCUUGUGUGCCGCCAUUAGUCCGCAAGGAGUUCUCCAUCACCAUGCCACCAUAGGUCCCUACAAUACUGCACACAUAAUCAUAUUUCUGGAUACACUACAUAAUGCAGCUGUACAGGACGGACCAGAGCAGCCCAGGUUUGUUGUCAUCUGGGAUAAUGUUAGUUUCCACAGGGCUGCUCUGGUCAGGGACUGGUUCACCAACCACAAUAACUUCACAGUUGUAUACUUGCCCCCAUACUCCCCAUUUCUCAAUCCGAUUGAGGAAUUAUUUUCGGCUUGGCGUUGGAAAGUGUAUGACCGCCAACCACAUGCUCGCCUGCCUCUUCUGCAAGCAAUGGAAGAGGCAUGCGGAGACAUUGAGGUGGGGUCAGUCCAGGGUUGGAUAUGGCACACGAGGCAAUAUUUUCCCUGUUACCUAGCCAGGGGUGACAUUGCUUGUGAUGUGGAUGAAGUGAUGUGGUCAGACCCUAACAGAAGGAGGGAUCCAUAAACCAUCUACCCCAUGCCUUACAAUCCCUUACAAUACCAUUUUUUGUUUACCAUUGCACUGUAAUUUUACUGUAAUUUAUUUUGUUUCCAUGAGUUUACAGUAACAUAUUGUAUUGAUUACUGUACUGCAAUUCUACUUUUCUUUGUGUUUAUUUGUUGUCGUAAAAACCUGCAAUGGCAAAAACAUAAGCUGUCUACAUUUUUUUCUGAAGCCUUUCUAUUUUGUGUUCAUUGAAAUGUGAGUAGAUGUAUUGCACUGGAACAAUCUUUCACAGAAGCCUGUAUGAGAAAAUUAAAAAGGUAUACAAAGUA